CCUACGGGAGGCAGCAGUGGGGAAUAUUGCACAAUGGGGGAAACCCUGAUGCAGCGACGCCGCGUGAGUGAAGAAGUAUUUCGGUAUGUAAAGCUCUAUCAGCAGGGAAGAAAAUGACGGUACCUGAGUAAGAAGCCCCGGCUAACUACGUGCCAGCAGCCGCGGUAAUACGUAGGGGGCAAGCGUUAUCCGGAUUUACUGGGUGUAAAGGGAGCGUAGACGGCAGCACAAGUCUGGAGGGAAAUGCCGGGGCUUAACCCCGGAACUGCUUUGGAAACUGUGCAGCUAGAGUGCAGGAGAGGUAAGUGGAAUUCCUGGUGUAGCGGUGAAAUGCGUAGAUAUUAGGAGGAACACCAGUGGCGAAGGCGGCUUACUGGACUGUAACUGACGUUGAGGCUCGAAAGCGUGGGGAGCAAACAGGAUUAGAUACCCCAGUAGUC
rnacentral:rRNA from 1 species